rnacentral:rRNA from 1 species
UGGGGAAUUUUGGACAAUGGGGGAAACCCUGAUCCAGCCAUCCCGCGUGUGCGAUGAAGGCCUUCGGGUUGUAGCACUUUUGGCAGGAAAGAAACGUCAUGGGUUAAUACCCCGUGAAACUGACGGUACCUGCAGAAUAAGCACCGGCUAACUACGUGCCAGCAGCCGCGGUAAUACGUAGGGUGCAAGCGUUAAUCGGAAUUACUGGGCGUAAAGCGUGCGCAGGCGGUUCGGAAAGAAAGAUGUGAAAUCCCAGAGCUCAACUUUGGAACUGCAUUUUUAACUACCGGGCUAGAGUGUGUCAGAGGGAGGUGGAAUUCCGCGUGUAGCAGUGAAAUGCGUAGAUAUGCGGAGGAACACCGAUGGCGAAGGCAGCCUCCUGGGAUAACACUGACGCUCAUGCACGAAAGCGUGGGGAGCAAACAGG